CCUACGGGUGGCAGCAGUGAGGAAUAUUGGUCAAUGGGCUUACGCCUGAACCAGCAAAGUCGCGUGAGGGAAGACUGCCCUAUGGGUUGUAAACCUCUUUUGUCAGGGAGCAACGCCGGCUACGUGUAGCCGGACUGAGAGUACCUGAAGAAAAAGCAUCGGCUAACUCCGUGCCAGCAGCCGCGGUAAUACGGAGGAUGCGAGCGUUAUCCGGUGUUAUUGGGUUUAAAGAGUGCGUAGGCGGAAUGCCAAGUCAGCGGGAAAAUCGGGGGGCUCAACCUCGCUCCGCCGUUGAAACUGGCGGUCUUGAGUGGGCGAGAAGUAUGCGGAAUGCGUGGUGUAGCGGUGAAAUGCAUAGAUAGCACGCAGAACUCCGAUUGCGAAGGCAGCAGACCGGCGCCCAACUGACGCUGAAGCACGAAAGCGUGGGUAUCGAACAGGAUUAGAUACCCCGGUAGUC
rnacentral:rRNA from 1 species